rnacentral:rRNA from 1 species
CUCGUAGGCGGUUCGUCGCGUUCGGUGUGAAAGUCCAUCGCUUAACGGUGGAUCCGCGCCGGGUACGGGCGGGCUUGAGUGCGGUAGGGGAGACUGGAAUUCCCGGUGUAACGGUGGAAUGUGUAGAUAUCGGGAAGAACACCAAUGGCGAAGGCAGGUCUCUGGGCCGUUACUGACGCUGAGGAGCGAAAGCGUGGGGAGCGAACA